rnacentral:lncRNA from 1 species
CCCUUUUCAAAUGAUUUGUAUAGUUUGUUCUUAUGGUGUACUGCAGUUCACCACUGAAUAAGGUUCAGGGAAGGUUGGCGCCGUUAAAUUACUUUAUUUUAUAAUUGUAUAGUGCCUGUACCUUUAGACAGGAGCCUGGGAUUCAGUGGAUGCCGUUUGUUGCUGCAUAUCAUUUUGUAUUAUUGUUAUUUUGUACCGUUUAAUCGAGCCGUUAGUUUUCUCCUUUUAAUUGUUUUACGUUGUCAUUUCAGGGCUUUUUAUAGAUUCAACACAGCGACUGAGUAAUUCUUGAACACAACGCGUACCUAUAUACAGGUAAAUUAGAUGAAGACGAUUUUACUUGUUUUUGGCUCCGCCAUGUUGGGAUGGUAAUAACUGCAAUUACCAUGAUCAGUUUAACACCAGUGGAACAGCAAGCUAUAUGAAUGGUCACAUAAUUACUAGUGUAAAAAAAUAAACAGGAAAACCAACUUUAUAAACUCAGAUCUCACAAAACAUGGUUAAACCCGUC